rfam:Naegleria gruberi genomic scaffold NAEGRscaffold_50, whole genome shotgun sequence.
GGCUACGGCCAUAUCACGAUGAAUGUACCUCAUCCCGUCCGAUUUGAGAAGUUAAGCAUCGUCGAGCCACAUCAGUACUGAGGUUGGAGACAACUUGGGAACCUGUGGUGCUGUAGUCU